GUUAAAGGACAGCUUACUCUGUGGCUAAGCAACUACUAAUUUGUCUCCGAGUCACCACAGUAUUAUGAAAGAUGAUGGAUGAUCCAGUGACAGAACAUGAAAAUCUUUGCAGAAGAAUACUUUCUGUGCAUUCAUAUUACCUCAACAUCAGUUACAGAACAUAUACCUGGCAUUAUUAAAAUUACAUUUUGAAACAUGGGAAAUAGAUAACAAUUUAGCUUUAAGAUCACAAGAUUUGUGCACAGUCAGCCAGUGGCACAAGUUCUCUGCAGCCAUGGAGGGUAAAAAGGAUAGUGUAAGUGGAGUGCACACACUACUUCUAUGGGUCAGUUUACAAGAAAACUGCAUGGUACAUUGGCAGACCUGGCAGAAAACCUAUGUUCAAUGUUGAAGAGUGUAGAAGACUGCAUAGUUAACUUGGUAGAGGGUUUAUUGCAGAGCUUUGAACUCAUAUUUUCAACAUGGAACAGAUGUCUACCUCAAGGAAUUUUUGAAUCCAACGUUGUAUAAGCUAGAUGAUUCAGACUUGGGCUAAUGCUGACAAGUGACAUUUGCACUC